rnacentral:misc_RNA from 1 species
GAUGAAGAACGCAGCGAAAUGCGAUAAGUAAUGUGAAUUGCAGAAUCCAGUGAAUCAUCGAAUCUUUGAACGCACAUUGCGCCCGCCAGCAUUCUGGCGGGCAUGCCUGUUCGAGCGUCAUUUCAACCCUCGACCUCCCUUUGGGGAAGUCGGCGUUGGGGACCGGCAGCACACCGCCGGCCCUGAAAUGGAGUGGCGGCCCGUCCGCGGCGACCUCUGCGUAGUAAACCAACUCGCACCGGAACCCCGACGUGGCCACGCCGUAAAACACCCAACUUCUGAACGUUGACCUCGAAUCAGGUAGGACUACCCGCUGAACUUAAGCAUAUCAAUAAGCGGGGA